GAUGAAGAACGCAGUGAAAUGCGAUAAGUAAUGUGAAUUGCAGAAUUCAGUGAAUCAUCGAAUCUUUGAACGCACAUUGCGCCCGCCAGUAUUCUGGCGAGCAUGCCUGUUCGAGCGUCAUUUCAACCAUCAAGCCCCAGGCCUGUGUUGGAGCCCUGCGGCUGCCGCAGCCUCCCAAAACCAGUGGCGGGCUCGCUAUCACACCGAGUGCAGUAGUUUACUCUUCGCUCAGGGCGUGUGGCGGGUGCUAGCCGUGAAACCCCCAACUUCUCAAGGUUGACCUCGGAUCAGGUAGGAAUACCCGCUGAACUUAAGCAUAUCAAUAAGCGGAGGA
rnacentral:misc_RNA from 1 species